GAUGAACGCUAGCGGCAGGCCUAAUACAUGCAAGUCAAGGGGAUAUAGCAAUAUAUUACCGGCGCACGGGUGAGUAACGCGUACACAACGUGCCUUAGAGCGAGGGAUAGCCUUGGGAAACUGGGAGUAAUACCUCAUAGUAUCAAUGACUGGCAUCGGUUAUUGAUUAAAGUUACGGCGCUCUAAGAUCGGUGUGCGUCUGAUUAGCUAGUUGGUAGGGUAACGGCCUACCAAGGCGACGAUCAGUAGGGGGCGUGAGAGCGUGGACCCCCACACGGGUACUGAGACACGGACCCGACUCCUACGGGAGGCAGCAGUAAGGAAUAUUGGUCAAUGGAGGGAGCUCUGAACCAGCCAUGCCGCGUGAAGGAUGACUGCCCUAUGGGUUGUAAACUUCUUUAGACUGGGGCGAAAAAGCAGGAUUUAUCCUGAACUGACGGUACCAGUAGAAUAAGCACCGGCUAACUCCGUGCCAGCAGCCGCGGUAACAC
rnacentral:rRNA from 1 species